ACACAUGCAAGUCGAACGGCAGCACGGGAGCAAUCCUGGUGGCGAGUGGCGAACGGGUGAGUAAUACAUCGGAACGUGCCCAAUCGUGGGGGAUAACGCAGCGAAAGCUGUGCUAAUACCGCAUGAGAUCUACGGAUGAAAGCAGGGGACCGCAAGGCCUUGCGCGAAUGGAGCGGCCGAUGGCAGAUUAGGUAGUUGGUGAGGUAAAGGCUCACCAAGCCUGCGAUCUGUAGCUGGUCUGAGAGGACGACCAGCCACACUGGGACUGAGACACGGCCCAGACUCCUACGGGAGGCAGCAGUGUGGAAUUUUGGACAAUGGGCGCAAGCCUGAUCCAGCCAUGCCGCGUGCAGGAUGAAGGCCUUCGGGUUGUAAACUGCUUUUGUACGGAACGAAAAGGCUUUCUCUAAUAAAGAGGGCUCAUGACGGUACCGUAAGAAUAAGCACCGGCUAACUACGUGCCAGCAGCCGCGGUAAUACGUAGGGUGCAAGCGUUAAUCGGAAUUACUGGGCGUAAAGCGUGCGCAGGCGGUGAUGUAAGACAGUUGUGAAAUCCCCGGGCUCAACCUGGGAACUGCAUCUGUGACUGCAUCGCUGGAGUGCGGCAGAGGGGGAUGGAAUUCCGCGUGUAGCAGUGAAAUGCGUAGAUAUGCGGAGGAACACCGAUGGCGAAAGGCAAUCCCCUGGGCCUGCACUGACGCUCAUGCACGAAAGCGUGGGGAGCAAACAGGAUUAGAUACCCUGGUAGUCCACGCCCUAAACGAUGUCAACUGGUUGUUGGGUCUUCACUGACUCAGUAACGAGCUAACGCGUGAGUUGACGCCUGGGGAGUACGNCGC
rnacentral:rRNA from 1 species